rnacentral:rRNA from 1 species
GACGAACGCUGGCGGCGCGCUUAACACAUGCAAGUCGAACGGAAAGGCCUGUUUUCCCUUGUGGAUUGCGGGUACUCGAGUGGCGAACGGGUGAGUAACACGUGAGUGAUCUGCCCCCAACUUGGGUAUAAGCCUGGGAAACUGGGUCUAAUUCCCGAUAGGACUGCAGGGUGGUGCCUGUGGUGGAAAACGAUUUUCUAGUGGUUGGGGAUGAGCUCGCGGCCUAUCGGCUUGUUGGUGGGGUAAUGGCCUACCAAGGCGGCGACGGGUAGCCGGCCUGAGAGGGUGGACGGCCACAUUGGGACUGAGAUACGGCCCAGACUCCUACGGGAGGCAGCAGUGGGGAAUAUUGCACAAUGGGCGGAAGCCUGAUGCAGCGACGCCGCGUGGGGGAUGACGGCCUUCGGGUUGUAAACUCCUUUCGACCGCGAGGAAGCCACCUGGUUGGAAGGGUGGUGACGGUAGUGGUAGAAGAAGCACCGGCUAACUACGUG